rnacentral:rRNA from 1 species
UAAGGUAGCGAAAUUCCUUGUCGGGUAAGUUCCGACCCGCACGAAUGGCGUAACGAUGGCCACACUGUCUCCUCCAGAGACUCAGCGAAAUUGAAGUGUUUGUGAAGAUGCAAUCUCCCCGCGGCUAGACGGAAAGACCCCAUGAACCUUUACUGUAGCUUUGCAUUGGACUUUGACGGGACUUGUGUAGGAUAGGUGGGAGGCUGUGAAGCAGGGACGCCAGUUCUUGUGGAGCCACCCUUGAAAUACCACCCUGGUGUCGUUGAGGUUCUAACCUGGACCCCUUAUCGGGGUCGGGGACCGUGCAUGGUAGGCAGUUUGACUGGGGCGGUCUCCUCCCAAAAGGUAACGGAGGAGCACGAAGGUUGGCUAGACACGGUCGGAAAUCGUGUUGAUAGUGCAAGGGCAUAAGCCAGCUUAACUGCGAGACCCACAAGUCGAGCAGAUGCGAAAGCAGGUCCUAGUGAUCCGGUGGUUCUGUAUGGAAGGGCCAUCGCUCAACGG